rnacentral:misc_RNA from 1 species
GAUGAAGAACGUAGCGAAAUGCGAUAAGUAGUGUGAAUUGCAGAAUUCAGUGGAUCAUCGAAUCUUUGAACGCACAUUGCGCCCCUUGGUAUCGCGAGGGGCAUGCCUGUUCGAGCGUCAUUUCACCACUCAAGCCUGGCUUGGUGUUGGGCGACGUCCCCUUUGGGGACGCGCCUCGAAACGCUCGGCGGCGUGGCACCGGCUUUAAGCGUAGCAGAAUCUUUCGCUUUGGAAGUCGGGGCCCCGUCUGCCAGAAGACCUACUCGCAAGGUUGACCUCGGAUCAGGCAGGGAUACCCGCUGAACUUAAGCAUAUCAAUAAGCGGAGGA